AACCGCCAGGUGCACCACUAGGUAGGCCUCAUUUGGGCCCGGAUGGAGGCGGUGCCUGAAGGGGCUGGGCCAGCAGGGUUGAACUAGAAAUGAGGGUGGGGGCUGGUCGGGGCCAGCCUUGCUGACUGUGGGAGCGUCCCGCAAGGAGGCCAGGCUAGUCCUACUGCCCCUCGGUGACCGCGGCGAGGUACAGGUACAGGGCCAGUCCCGGGAAAGGCCGGCCCUUUCAGAGAGGAGCUUUGGCCCUCUGACCCCGCGGAUGUCAGCGCUCAGGCGCUGCGGGGCUGGAAGAGGAACCCUAGGCGACAGGGCGUGAAAGAAGGCAACUGAAACACCCCACAGAUCAGACUAAUGCUUCAGGAGGCAGGAACGAAGAGGAACUUCAGCUGGGGGCUGGAUUGCAGGCACUGUCGCUGAGGGGAAAAGGGGUCUUGGAGCCAUUUUUCAAGACCAGGUGGUGAAUACCCGACAGUACUUGGAACAUGUGAAAGACUCCACAACAGGAAUGCAAGGUAGAGUGGUGAAGCUAUUCCCCAACCAUUUCCGAGUGACCUCUCGCCCUGAACCCCUCACGUAUAAGUACAACAUUGAUUACAUGCCAGAGGUUGAAGAGGGAAAAGUUCGUACAGAUCUGCUCUGCCAGCAUAAACACGUAAUUGAAGAGUGUCCCACAUUUGAUGGGAACUCUUUAUUACUGCCUCAUAAACUACAAAAGCAGGUGUAUCUCCGUGUUUGUUAGUAAAUCUUCAUAAUAUUCACUGCGGUUUCCACGAAAUCCAUUCUUCCAAUUUCUAGAAUUUCGAAGAUGAUGGAUUUGAAGCAAGUUGGUCGCAACUAUUACAACGAGAAUGAGGCCACGGAGUUCCUCAAUCAUAAAGUUUCAAGACCGCUUUCUUGGGGUAGGAAUACUCGUUUCCUCAAAUAUUGCUGGGACCACUGGAUAUCCACCUGGCCGUUCCUCACAGAAGAUACAAAAUUAACUCCAAUUUAUCCCCAAAAUUAACUAAAAAUAGACCUAAAUGUAUAACAAUAGAACCUAUCGAGUGGAUGCUAUUAAUUGGGAGGAGACUCCCAGAAGUACGUUUAAGAAAUCAGGUGGUGAGGAAAUCACCUUCAUAGACUACUACAAGGAGCAACAUGGUCUAGUGGUCACUGCCCUAACUCAGCCACUUUUGGUCAGCAAAGGCAAAUGGAAAAAGAGCCAACAGGACACGCCCCAUGAGCCUAUAAUGCUGGUUCCCGAGCUGUGCUACCUGACAGGUCUAACAGAUGAACUGCAUAAAGACUACAGAGUGAAGAGAGACAUGGCUGUGCAUACAAGGUUGGAUCCAGAAAAAAAGGCAGCAUGAAUUACAAAGAUUCACGAAUAUUGGACAAAAAAAUAAGAGUGCACAAAAGGAACUCCAACUUUGGGAUUUGAAAUUUGACCCCAACUUCGUGUCCUUCUCAGGAAGAAUUAUGAAAGAAGUAAGAAUUCUUCAAAGAAGCAGAGUGCUCAAGUUUGGACAUGUGUGAAAAUGUACAAGAAGCACGAGAAUUGAGAAGCACUUGACUUCUGAGUUCGGUUCCAUGUGGAAUAAAAACACAUGUGGCACCAUUUCUGUCAUCAGGAAAUCUCAGUCCUCCCAGAAUUAAAUUAAAACAUAAUCGGAUGAUGAAAUAGAACUGAGCCCCCUUUGAAAGGAGUUGGAAACCAGAGAAGAAUCUCCUAGAGGAGGAGUCCACUCUUCUGCAACCUCCUUUUUGCUGAUCAUGACUUGGACUGUUGUACGAGAUGUUGAAUUCAGUUUCUCCCAUUGAUUGGUUCAACCUCUCAGCUGCUGCUGUGGGUCUGAGCCACGGCCAGGUUGGAGUGGUUCUGUGAGUUGGGAGGAUCUCUCAGCCUAGACUGGCAAUUGCAGGCAGAAAUAGAAUGGGACCCACCCAUGUCAACUACACAUUGUCUAGUAGCUCUAUGGUAAAAAGAAACAAGUCAAAAAUCAAAUCAUUGUAAUGGGCAAAAUGGUACCACUUCAACGUGUAUUUGAUUUCAAAAAUACAUUGUUUUUAAAACCUCAACAAGAAAGUUUCUUCUUCUUCUUCUUCUUCUUCU